GCGGAAAACUAUAUAUAGCUAUACUUAAAAGGUGUGGAGCACGUCUUUGCUAAGCUGUGCUAUAUGUAUGUUUUAAUUCUUAAAGCCUCACUGUAAUUAUCACCAUAUCAUAGAAAAGGAGAUUGAGGUGCAGGAAGUAACAUGAAGAGGUCACAAAGCUGGAAGAAGACAAGUCCUGGUUGCUUGGUUUCAGAGCUCCUGCUUGUGACCACUGCAUUCUCUACCAUGGGGCUGGACUGCACUGAGGAAUAGAGGUGUUCCCCCAUUGCUGACUUCCUGAUGAAGCUCCUCUGAAUUUCCUUAGUCGAAUGAUGCAGAAAAUGCACCUCUGGGGAAGGAAUGGCUCCAAGAUCAAGAUCAAGUCUGAGUAUUUUCCAUAUGAAGGUUCGGGAAAUCCUGACCUGACCAGUAGGAUCAAAUACAAACUCCUCAGAGUGGCACGUGAGGCCAUUCUGCCCUGUCUCCGUCACCUUUCAGCCUCGUUUCCUGCAUCUCUCCCAAAGACUGCUCCCUUUCACUGGAGUAGAGCUUCUGAACGUUGA
rnacentral:lncRNA from 1 species